AUGCUCUGAUUUGCUUAUUGCACCACAUGUGUUUUUCUUUGAAACAAACUUGCUUUGGCGGUGGGCCCAGCCUGCCGCCAGAGGUCUAAACUUACAACCAAUUUUUUAUUAACUUGUCACACCAGAUUAUUACUAAAUAGUCAAAACUUUCAACAACGGAUCUCUUGGUUCUCGCAUCGAUGAAGAACGCAGCGAAAUGCGAUACGUAAUAUGAAUUGCAGAUAUUCGUGAAUCAUCGAAUCUUUGAACGCACAUUGCGCCCUCUGGUAUUCCGGAGGGCAUGCCUGUUUGAGCGUCGUUUCUCCCUCAAACCGCUGGGUUUGGUGUUGAGCAAUACGACUUGGGUUUGCUUGAAAGACGGUAGUGGUAAGGCGGGAUCGCUUUGACAAUGGCUUAGGUCUAACCAAAAACAUUGCUUGCGGCGGUAACGUCUACCACGUAUAUCUUCAAACUUUGACCUCAAAUCAGGUAGGACUACCCGCUGAACUUAAGCAUAUCAAUAAGGCGGAGGAA
rnacentral:rRNA from 1 species